GAUUUUUUCAACCCAAAAUGACGUCACCCGGAAGUUAUUGCUUAGCUGGCGUCAAAUAGUUUUCCACCGAUAUUCUCAUCCCAACAAACAAAUUAUUUUAGGUAACUAGGAAAUUCGUUUAAAUGUGUUUUAGAUUUUCAUUUGGAACUUUAAUGUGUUAUUUAAAUAACGCAUGGCUCAGACAAACUCUUGAGUCUUUUAAAGUGUUUGUUAUCCUAGCUUGUAAGCUAGCUAACGUUACACUAGCCAUUGUCUUGGGUUGGAAAGUGACGGCAGCUCAAUAGCCCACCAUGUCUGAACCGGGUUCUGGCUGUGGCGUUCCAGUCCAGAGAAGCUCACAGCCUGGUCCAGAGACGGUGUCAGUGAAGCUGGAGGACUGCGGUCAAAAACUGGAACUCAAUGUGAUUGUCAAAAAGGAGGAGAAGGGAGAUGUUAAAGAAGAAAAGCGCAGAAAUCAAAGAAGAUAAGGAAGAGGGGGAGAAGAGAGAGGUCCAAGUCGAAGAGGAGAGAAAUGCUGAUAUGGCUCCUCCAGGGACCGGGGAGGAAGCACCAUAACUCCAUAACAGUGGAAAGACUGGUCCUAUGCAAGAUGUCAUCUGUUUUUACCAGUUUUAAGGAAAUGACAAGCUGAGAAAACGACGAAAGAUGUCAGUUGGUGUUUGGUGAUGAGAUCCUGAGGCCCAUAUUGUCGUGCCAUUUAUCCACCGCCAUCACCUCAUGUUUCAGCAUGAUAAUACACGGCCCCAUGUCGCAACGAUCUGUA